UACGUAGGGUGCAGGCGUUAAUCGGAAUUACUGGGCGUAAAGCGUGCGCAGGCGGCUCCUUAAGUCAGAUGUGAAAGCCCCGGGCUCAACCUGGGAACUGCAUCUGUGACUGCAUCGCUGGAGUGCGGCAGAGGGGGAUGGAAUUCCGCGUGUAGCAGUGAAAUGCGUAGAUAUGCGGAGGAACACCGAUGGCGAAGGCAAUCCCCUGGGCCUGCACUGACGCUCAUGCACGAAAGCGUGGGGAGCAAACAGG
rnacentral:rRNA from 1 species